rnacentral:tRNA from 1 species
GCGGAAGUGGUGGAAUUGGUAGACACGCUACUUUGAGGGGGUAGUGGUCUUAAGACCGUGCGGGUUCAAGUCCCGCCUUCCGCACCA